GAGGGUGUAGCUCAGUGGUAGAGUGAAUGCCUAGCAUGCAUAAGGUCCUGGGUUCAAUCCCCACUACCUCCA
rnacentral:tRNA from 1 species